ACGAACGCGCGGCGGCGUGGAUUAGGCAUGCAAGUCGAACGGUAUCAUCCUUUCGGGGGUGAGAGAGUGGCGAACUGGUGAGUAACACGUAGGUUAUCUACCCUCAAGACGGGACAACCCAGGGAAACUUGGGCUAAUACCGGAUGUGAGCAACUUUUAGUUGUUUGAAAGGUGGCGUAAGCUGUCGCUUGGGGAUGAGCCUGCGUCCUAUUAGUUAGUUGGUGAGGUAACGGCUCACCUAGGCAAUGAUAGGUAGGCGGCCUUAACGGGUGGUCGCCCACACUGGGAUUGAGAUACGGCCCAGACUCCUACGGGAGGCAGCAGUCGAGAAUAGUCUACAAUGGUCGGAAGACUGAUAGUGCGACGCCGCGUGAACGAUGAAUCCCUUCGGGGUGUAAAGUUCUUUUAUAUGUGAGCAGUGCUUCUUAUAUUAAAGUAUGGGGAGAGAGAUAUUAGCAUAUGAAUAAGCAACGGCUAACUCCGUG
rnacentral:rRNA from 1 species